CCUACGGGUGGCAGCAGUGAGGAAUAUUGGUCAAUGGGCGCAAGCCUGAACCAGCCAAGUAGCGUGAAGGAUGACUGCCCUACGGGUUGUAAACUUCUUUUAUAAAGGAAUAAAGUGAGGCACGCGUGCCUUUUUGUAUGUACUUUACGAAUAAGGAUCGGCUAACUCCGUGCCAGCAGCCGCGGUAAUACGGAGGCUCCGAGCGUUAUCCGGAUUUAUUGGGUGUAAAGGGAGCGUAGAUGGGUGGAUAAGUCAGUUGUGAAAGUUUGCGGCUCAACCGUGGAAUUGCAAUUGAUACUGGCAGUCUUGAGUACAGUUGAGGUAGGCGGAAUGCGUGGUGUAGCGGUGAAAUGCUUAGAUAUCACGAAGAACACCGAUUGCGAAGGCAGAUUACUAAACUGCCACUGACAUUGAUGCGCGAAAGUGUGGGGAGCAAACAGGAUUAGAUACCCGAGUAGUC
rnacentral:rRNA from 1 species